UCAAACUCAAACAACAUCUUCAUCUGAGCCUUCUCAAGAACUAGUUGAUCAACAAUCUUCUUCCAAGCACCGGAAGGUUGAGGCAUGCUAGAGGAAGAUAAACCCUAUGGCUCUCUUUGUCUCUUCACUGCAUGGUAUUCAAGAAUCUCAAUAAGUGCAUCCUUGUGCUUAAACUCAAGUUACGACUCUUCAUGCUUUUGGCUCAAAGCAUGGAACCGCU
rnacentral:lncRNA from 1 species